UGAAUACGAGACGCUAAGGCGUCGAAGUAGUGUAUGUCAUACUUCCAAGAAAAGCUUGCACUGUCAUAGAUAAAAAACGCCUGUACCAUAACCGACACAGGUGGGUAGGUAGAGUAUACUAAGGGGCGCGAGAUAACUCUCUCUAAGGAACUCGGCAAAAUAACUCCGUAACUUCGGGAGAAGGAGUGCCUUAUUAUUAAGGUUGCAAUAACAAGAUCCAAGCAACUGUUUAUCAAAAACACAGGUCUCCGCUAAGUCGUAAGACGAUGUAUGGGGGCUGACGCCUGCCCAGUGCCAGAAGGUUAAAGAAGCUGGUUAGCAUUUGCGAAGCUAGUAACUGAAGCCCUGGUGAACGGCGGCCGUAACUAUAACGUUCCUAAGGUAGCGAAAUUCCUUGUCGGGUAAGUUCCGACCCGCACGAAAGGCGUAAUGAUUUGGAUACUGUCUCGGAGAGGGGCUCGGUGAAAUAGACUUGUCUGUGAAGAUGCGGACUACCUGCACCAGGACAGAAAGACCCUAUGAAGCUUUACUGUAACUUGAAAUUGAAAUUGGACUUUAUUCGCGCAGUAUAGGUGGGAGGCGUUGAUUAUAAUCUUGCGGGAUUAUUGGAGCCAUUAGUGAGAUACCACUCUUGUAAUGUUAGAUUUCUAACUUUGAAUCAUUAUCUGGUCAAAGAACAGUUUCAGGCGGGCAGUUUGACUGGGGCGGUCGCCUCCUAAACGGUAACGGAGGCGUACAAAGGUUUCCUCUGAACGGUUAGAAAUCGUAUCUAGAGUGUAAAGGCAUAAGGAAGCUUGACUGUGAGACCUACAAGUCGAGCAGGGACGAAAGUCGGUCUUAGUGAUCUGACGGUACUGAGUGGAAAGGCCGUCACUCAACGGAUAAAAGUUACUCUAAGGAUAACAGGCUGAUCUCCCCCAAGAGUUCACAUCGACGGGGAGGUUUGGCACCUUGAUGUCGGCUCAUCGCAUCCUGGGGCGGUAGUACGUCCCAAGGGUUGGGCUGUUCGCCCAUGAAAGCGGUACGCGAGCUGGGUUCAGAACGUCGUGAGACAGUUCGGUCCAUAUCCGGUGUAGGCGUUAGAAUAUUGAGAGGAGCCUUCUUUAGUACGAGAGGACCGAGAAGGACAUACCUCUGGUGUACCAGUUAUCGUGCCAACGGUAGACGCUGGGUAGCUAUGUAUGGAGUGGAUAACCGCUGAAAGCAUCUAAGUGGGAAGCCCACCUCAAGAUAAGUAUUCCC
rnacentral:rRNA from 1 species